UGGGCGGAUAGUUCAACGGUAGAACGCUUGCCUUACACGCAAGAAGUUAGAGGUUCGAAUCCUCUUUCGCCCACCAU
rnacentral:tRNA from 1 species